UACGUAGGGUGCGAGCGUUGUCCGGAAUUAUUGGGCGUAAAGGGCUCGUAGGCGGUUUGUCGCGUCGGGAGUGAAAACACACAGCUUAACUGUGUGCUUGCUUCCGAUACGGGCAGACUAGAGGUAUGCAGGGGAGAACGGAAUUCCUGGUGUAGCGGUGAAAUGCGCAGAUAUCAGGAGGAACACCGGUGGCGAAGGCGGGUCUCUGGGCCUUACCUGACGCUGAGGAGCGAAAGCGUGGGUAGCGAACAGG
rnacentral:rRNA from 1 species